ensembl:lncRNA
UGGGGUCUCAUUGGGAUCCAUGGGGUCUUAUUGGGGUCUAUGAGGUGUCACUGGGGUCCCAUAGGGGUUUAUGGGGGUCCAUGGGGUCUUAAUGUGCUCUCAUUGGGGUUCCAUGGGGUCCCAUGGGGGCUAAUGGGGUCUAUGGGGGUUUAUUGGGGUCUCAUUGGGGUCCCAUGGGGGUUUAGUGGGGUUUAAUGGGGUCUAUGGGGUCUUAAUGGGGUUUAUUGGGGUCCACGGGGUCUUAAUGGGGUUUCAGUGGGGUUUAUUGGGGUCCCAUGGGGUCCUGAUGGGGUAUAUUGGAAUUUCUUGGGGUCCAUGGGGUCUUACUGGGGUUUGUUGGGGUCCAUGGGGUCUUAAUGGGGUUUCAUUGGGGUUCAUUGGGGUUUAGGGGGGUCCCAAGGGAUCUUAAUGGGGUUUAUUGGGGUCCUGUGGGGUCUCAUUGGGGUUUAUUGGGAUCCCAAGGGAUCUUAAUGGGGUUUAUUGGGGUCCAUGGGGUAUUAUUGGGGUCUCACUGGAGUUUAUUGGGGUCCCGUGGGGUCUCACUGGGGUUUAUUGGGGUCGUAUGGGGUCUUAAUGGGGUCUCAUUGGGGUUUAUUGGGGUCCUAUGGGGUCUUAAUGGGGUUUAUUGGUAUCCACGGGGUCUUAGUGGGAUUUUACUGGGAUCCUAUGGGGUCUUAAUAGGGUUUAUUGGGGUCCAUGCAGUCUCAUUGGGAUCUAUAGGGUCUUAUUGGGGUUCCCAUUGGGGUCAGGUGCUGCACUGGGUUCCAGUGUUGCAUUGGGAUUCCCAUUGGGGUCCUGGGGUUCCCAUUGGGGUUCCCAUUGGGGUUCCUAUUGGGGUCAGGUGCUGUAUUGGGGUCCUGUAUUGUAUUGGGGUUCCCAUUGGGGUUUCCCAUUAG